rnacentral:rRNA from 1 species
AGAGUUUGAUUAUGGCUCAGGAUGAACGCUAGCUACAGGCUUAACACAUGCAAGUCGAGGGGUAGCAGGGUAGCAAUACCGCUGACGACCGGCGCACGGGUGAGUAACACGUAUCCAACCUUCCCAUAACUCAGGGAUAGCCUUUCGAAAGAAAGAUUAAUACCUGAUAGUACUUUUUCAAGGCAUCUUGAGAAAGUUAAAGAUUUAUUGGUUAUGGAUGGGGAUGCGUUCCAUUAGAUAGUUGGUGAGGUAACGGCUCACCAAGUCUUCGAUGGAUAGGGGUUCUGAGAGGAAGGUCCCCCACAUUGGUACUGAGACACGGACCAAACUCCUACGGGAGGCAGCAGUGAGGAAUAUUGGUCAAUGGGCGAGAGCCUGAACCAGCCAAGUAGCGUGAAGGAUGAAGGUCCUAUGGAUUGUAAACUUCUUUUAUAGUAGAAUAAAGUGAUCCACGUGUGGAUUUUGUAUGUAUACUAUGAAUAAGGAUCGGCUAACUCCGUGCCAGCCGCUGC